AUGAAGAACGUAGCGAACGUGCGAAACGUAAUGUGAAUUGCAGAAUUCAGUGAAUCAUCGAAUCUUUGAACGCAUCUUGCGCUCCUUGGUAUUCCGAGGAGCAUGCCUGUUUGAGUGUCGUGAAUACUCUCAACUUCAACCCUUUUUUCGGAAAGGGAGGAAGGUUGGACUUGGGUGUUUGUUGAAGUGCGAGCUUCGACUCAUCCUAAAUGCAUUAGCGAUCUGCCUCGAUCACACACAAUGUGAUAAUUAAAACUAAAGCAUUGUUUAAUGAUCAAGUCGAGACUGCUUCUAACUGUCGCAAGACAAUAACGUGCAUACAUUUGUGCAUGUCAUUUGACCUCAAAUCAGGUAGGACUACCCGCUGAACUUAAGCAUAUCAAUAAGCGGAGGA
rnacentral:misc_RNA from 1 species